UUCCCCUUCCCUUCUAAACUUGCUUUGUCUUGAUUCCUGGUACCACUUUCCACCUUGUUGCCAAGACAGGAGUCUAGGAUCACCUCCAGCAUCUCCUAUGUCCUCACUGUCUACAUGGAUUGUUAUUCAGGUUACACUGAUUAGGUUCCUAAGAUGCCUCUCAACAUAUCUGCUCUUCUCUUUCCGCUGCCAAUGACUGGUCACCUCAUCAUCAUUUCCUAAACCCAUUCACUCUCCCUGCAUGUAUGUCACAGAGAUCUUUUAAAAUUCACCUUGCAGAAGAAAAACUGAACACAGAAAAUAUCUUGAUGGCUCAUUUUUGCCAAAAGACACACAGAUUCUACUAACCUGAACACGUGAGACCUACUGGACAUUGCAGCAGAUGCCAUGGCAUAUGGAAGAAAAGACCAGAUCUCUUUCUCCUCCAUGUGAGGACACAGCAAGAAAGCAUCUGUCCACAAACCAGGAAAAGGACCAUACCAAGAACCUGACCAUACUGGAACCCUGAUCUUGGGCUUCUCAGCCUUUAGAACUUCAGAAAAGUCCUGCUAAAGAAGUCAGUUCCUGUGCCCAGAUGCUAGAGAAUUGGGCCUACAGUUUCUAAUGCUUAUCCCAGAGGUCAUGCAUCCUAGCAACUUCGAGAUGGAAGGCCAUCAAUCACACAACCUACAGCAAGAGGGCAAACUGACUUUAACUCAACAAACACAUGUUAAAUUAUCCUGAAAUCAUAAGGACUAUGAAUAAUGCUUGGAAGGAAGGAAGCCACAGCCCUGUUGAGCAAGAAAGAGUACUAUUGUUAAACAGUGAUGUCUGCCAUGAGAACUGAGUACUGAAGUAGAAAUAUUUGUGACAUAUAAAUUCACUCCUGAUAUGGCAUUAUUUUAUUUUUUUUUUUAAUUUUCAAGAGACUAUGUCAGUUACCAUCUCCUUCCUCCAUGAAGCCAUGGUUGAUGGAAACUAAAUGGUAUGUUCCCUUAAGGGAACAGAGAAGUCAGACCUGUAAGUUUACUUAC